UAAAGUAAAGUAAAGUAAAAGAGAGCACGUUAUGAGACUCUCGAGUCUCAAGUCUUCCCUUCUCUUUACUUUUUCUUCAAAGUGGCCAAUCAGUUUCCUCACCCAGACGCGCUUACAGAGAGAAAUGGGAAUUCGGGAUUUCUUCAACUCAAGCACAGAAGCAGUGAAGCGAAAUGCACCGAAUUUCGCUCCGGUGAAGAACGCAUGUACAACCUCUUACAGUUAUGGCUCCGCCGCCUGCGCCAAGAUCGAUAAUACCGUCAGAGUAAACGGCCUCAAAAGGCUCAAACAGUGGCUUCCGGAUGAUGAGGCCAAAUCCAAGAUCGGUAUCUUUGCUGUAAAAUUCGCUAAAAAUGCUGGCCUCUAUGUCCUCCACGAGGGUUAUAAAUUUAUUCCUGGUGCAGCUGCAGUUUCAGAGAUUUUUACUAUGACCUUCAAAGAAGUAAAACGUGAGACCUUAAACGAGAAAUCCAAGCCAUUGGAAAAUACGGACACUGCACCAGGGAAACAAUUCGCUGGUACCAACAAAUCAAUGGACCGAGCAGAGAUACAACCAGGCUCUCUUGAUCAUGUUAAUUCAAUUGACGAUCAAAAUCCAGCAGACAUGAAAAGAAUUGGUACGCCUCGUAUCCGAAGCUCUCUUUGAGAGGCCACGUGAAGGUACUACACGCAGACAUCAUGCGGUUGACAAGGACAAAAUAAAGUUAAGGGCAUUGUGGAUAUGGUAUGAAUAUUAGUUUGCUGUCCAAUUAAAUAUGAGCAGUCGGUUGAAAGUGUAUGAAAAUGGAAAUAUACGGAAAAUGGCAAGGAGAAACAACUCAUAUUCUUGCUUCGGAAACAAUUUCUUAUGUGGAAUUGCAUGAUAAAGUCAAAGAGGUGUUGGAGGUCGAUGCAAAUCCAUAUGAAAUGGAGAUGUUAUCUCUAGUCCCUAUAAUGCGUAAGGCUCCAGCAGCAUCUAUCCUCACUGAUUGCGACAACAAUGUGAAAUGGUUUGUAUUAGAUAGAAAACUUUUCUUUGCGUAAUCAUUUCGAAUGAAGUUAUUGAAAAUCACGAAAAAUUUGGUGACGAUGAUGUUUAUUGCCAAGUGGGGGUGAAAAACAGUUUAGACAUAUGAACAACGAGGAGGAACAUGUUCAAAUGGACGACGAUGGUAACCAUGCCAAUGUUCAUUCCACUUGCAUAGUUCAAGCAGCGGUUGUGAAACUUAAGAUUGUAAUAUUGUUGUGACUUGUAGCUUAUUAUUUUGUACUAAAUAAAAUGACCUUUUUAUCACUAUGUUGCUUUUUCAUGA